rnacentral:rRNA from 1 species
UACGUAGGGUCCGAGCGUUGUCCGGAAUUAUUGGGCGUAAAGGGCUCGUAGGCGGUCUGUUGCGUCGGGAGUGAAAACUUACAGCUUAACUGUGAGCGUGCUUUCGAUACGGGCAGACUUGAGGCAUUCAGGGGAGAACGGAAUUCCUGGUGUAGCGGUGAAAUGCGCAGAUAUCAGGAGGAACACCAGUGGCGAAGGCGGCUACCUGGACCAGCACUGACACUGAGGCACGAAAGCGUGGGGAGCAAACAGG